rnacentral:lncRNA from 1 species
GUAUUUCAGGACUUCCUACACAGGAGCUUCACCCUGGACAGUGAUGGUGACCCGUGGACAAUGCAUCAUGCCUGUCAGGGUCCUAUUGCUUCAGCGUCUAGGGAGGCAAAGUCCUGCUGGGAGAGAGAACUUCACCUAAAGAUGGAUGGCCUUCCAGUCCUUGACAGCACUCCAGCCGAGAGAGAUCAGGGACCCUGCUGUGGGAGGAAAAAGGGGGAGCCACCGCAACAGAACAGGAGGAGAAAGUACAUCCCAUAACCAGGAGUUAAGCCACCUUCCUCUGGGGCCAGUGAACACAUGCAAGGUGAGGAGAGGUCCUAGGAAGUCAGAGGGAGGAGAGGAGCUCAAGUCUUCCAGAUGUCUCAUUGUGGAGCAUCAACUUGUCCCUCCUGCAGAUAUGGAUGACCCCUCAUGGUCGGUGAGUUUGAUGAGAUGCUAUGCCAGACCCUCUUGAUACAGCACCUGUCAGGGAAUAAAAGGGGCAGGGGUGGAGGGGGGGGGUCAGAAGGAAGCAACGACUUGUCGGGCACUUGAUGGCUUUGUUCUACCAUUGGGUCUCUGGUCAAACCAUUCAUUCGCUAACCAUGCAUUGAGCUGGGACUGUCCUAGGUGCAUCCAGUAGCUUCUGAUCUCACUGUCUGCACAUUUGUGCAUAUUUGACUCUUUGAAGGCUGCAGCCCCCCUAACAGACCCUCUACCAGCAGCUGGUCCAGUUCCCCGCAUGCAGUAGGUGCUUAGACAUGGAUGGUUGAAUCAGAUCAUGUUGCAUUGGGGAAGAAUGGUAUUGACCUCUGUGAGUUCUUGUCUAGGCACCUUGUAGGUGCAUUGGAAUGCUCAGAAAACAUUUGUCAGAUGGAAGUGGAGUGGAGUGGAGAAGUUUGUAUUUGUUCCCAAGUCUGGCUGAGGUUUGCGGAGAGGAGAGGUAGGGCCUGUUUUUAUUUGCUGUCGCUUUGGUUUGAUUUUCACCGUAUCAGCUUCCCUGGAAGGGAAGGGGGCCCCUCAGGUGAAUGGCGAGGAACCCCAGAUCAGGCCUGGCUUAUAUUCUCAUAACUUUCUCAUAUUACCAGCUCUGGAUACCAACGCAUAGGCCGCCUCAUUGUGUAACAGUACCCCAAGAAUUCCGGUGGACCCCUCGAUCAUCCUAACUCCCCCAAAAACAAAUCCCCAAGCAUAAAAGCCAGGCAUUCCCUAAAGUGAGUGACCCCAAGCCCACGAACGGGGCACCAAAGGCAAAAAAUAAUAGCCUUCCUUCAUUCUGCCUGAGGCUUGUGAUGCAACGCCAUAAAGCAUUUGAUUUAGGAUAUUAAAUGCCAUUGGUGAUGAGAACGUCGUGUAAGAUUUGCUUUGCAACGUCUUUCUUCUCAAACUGUCAUUAAAAAUGAUUUAUAGGUGAGCCCAGCUCUGAGAAACAACAUGAUUGGAAUUGAGGGCUGGGGAGAUCGGGUUUCUCCCGGGCAGUCUUGCCACGCUGUCCACAGUCCCAGAGAGGAAAAGCCUGCAAGAGAGACCACAACCUAGAGUUUCAAAGUCAAGGGCUUG